rnacentral:rRNA from 1 species
UCUUCCCUCUGGCGGCGUGCCUAAUACAUGCAAGUCGAGCGAACAGAUGAGGAGCUUGCUCCUCUGACGUUAGCGGCGGACGGGUGAGUAACACGUGGAUAACCUACCUAUAAGACUGGGAUAACUUCGGGAAACCGGAGCUAAUACCGGAUAAUAUAUUGAACCGCAUGGUUCAAUAGUGAAAGACGGUUUUGCUGUCACUUAUAGAUGGAUCCGCGCCGCAUUAGCUAGUUGGUAAGGUAACGGCUUACCAAGGCAACGAUGCGUAGCCGACCUGAGAGGGUGAUCGGCCACACUGGAACUGAGACACGGUCCAGACCCCUACGGGAGGCAGCAGUAGGGAAUCUUCCGCAAUGGGCGAAAGCCUGACGGAGCAACGCCGCGUGAGUGAUGAAGGUCUUCGGAUCGUAAAACUCUGUUAUUGGGGAAGAACAAAUGUGUAAGUAACUAUGCACGUCUUGACGGUACCUAAUCAGAAAGCCACGGCUAACUACGUG